GUUUUAAUUUUCCCUCUUAAUCACUCCUAAAAUCACAAUAGUGACCUAAUUUUUGGUGAUCAAAGGGGAGACCGAACUAGAGGAGUGGUUCAAUCGACGAUGAUGAUCGAAGGGAAGACCUAGUUUAUUAGGACGGACAGAAGGGUUAUAAUUAGUUCAAUGGCAGUUUCAACCCACCUUCAAUCCUAGGCUUGCGUUGAAUCAACAAUCAAGCCCCUGAAUUACAGGCCCCAACCACAUGGGGAGUACAUAAAACAAUGCUAAUCUAUAAUCUCAGGUAGUAAUUUUCAUUGAUAAUCAUCAACUUUACCCAGUUUUGGACGUUUCUUGAAACUACGAUGCGUGUAGGUGAUUCCUCUUAUACCUUUGAUAUAGAACCGGAUCACACAUUACGAAUCUUGUUUGGUAUUUGCGAUUUUGUGGCUGAACUGACCAAUAUAAGUUUAUUUUUUGGCAAGAUUUAGUCAUGCACUCUAUAUGUUUGAUGAAAUGUCUCAGUGGGAUCUUUUUUUAUACUGUUUCAUGAUAAUUUCCCAUUUACCAUAAAUUGCUGAUAAUGAAAAUGUAAGGGCUACUUUAUUUAGAACAAAGCUACAAAUAUUUUAUUAUGUUUUGAUAUUAGUAUGAUAAUUCCCUAUUCUAUGUUCAAUUUAACAAACUAGUGUUUGUUGUUUAUUUAAUGCUCUAACUAAGAAAUAUUUAAUCAUACAUGUUUACGUUUGACAUAUUAUAAUGUAUAUGUUUGAUAAUUGUUAUGAUAGAGACCAUUUAAGCGGGUUAGACUCCAAGAAAUAUUAGAGAGAGGAGAUAUGCUUUAAAUUUUGUUUUUUUAUAGUCAGAAGGGCAUUGGUUUAAAUAUUGAUUCGUAUUUAUGAUGAAAAUAUUAAGAUGAUAUAUAAUAAAUGCACACAUGUGAGUACAGUGGAAUUGAUAAAAUGGGCUCUAAUACCAGCUUGUUUUCAAAAGCAUCAAAUUUUAAAGAUCAACUGGUUCAUGGUGUCAGUUUUGCUUCUGCAGCUGUUAGGAUCAUUGAGAUAACUCCUGGAAUUUUGUGGAUCUCCUCCCUUUCAACCAACAGAUUGAGAACGCUAAACUCUUUGGAUCAUAUCACGAACAGUUUGGGUGCAACCGAUGUGGCUCAGGUACCUUCUCGAAGCCAUUUCUUUGUGAGAAUGGGUAGCAAUGACUACCUAAACAAGUACCUCAUGCCAUACUACCCCACCCGCAGCCAGUACUUGAGCAAUUUGUGCAGUUAAGCAGGACAUGUAAAGGCAACCUCCAACACAGAAGCUAGAAGCCAAGGAUCCUCCUAACUUCUCUAUUGUAUAAAGAUCGUUGAACAAAGUUAUGAAAUCAACCAAAUUUCUUCCAACAGAACAUAUGUACCAUAUACUUUGUUGUUACUUAGACCCGAACCUAAUUAGAAAUGAAAACUUUCUGUACAAGGGCAAUUUUUAUUUUAAAGGUUUUAAGACUCUGGGUGGCUUGUGACAAAUUGCAUAUUUAAAUCACAUUUUCUCGACAUAUGCUCUUAAGUCAAUCUCAGAUUGCAGAAUAUGUGUGGGCAAACUCAAUAUAGGAUAAAUGUUGUGUUUCAAGUUAGAAUUACAUAGUGCUUAUGGAAACAUCAAAGCGAGAUUUGAAGUUGAAAAAACAUGGUUGCUUGAAAUACGAAAAGAAAUUGAAUAGGGUUGUUAAAGAAAAAAGCCUGAGCUAGAAGCUAUGCGGAAAAAGGUUUGACAGUCAACGAGCAAAUAUUGAAGCUAUGAUGCGAAUUAUGGUGGACAGUCAACCUAUUGGAGUAGUUUUUGGAUGGUUUUUUUUUAUGUUUAAUCAUUGUAAUUGACAAAAACAUUUUGAUUGCAUUGUUACUUUGAGU